rnacentral:rRNA from 1 species
AGAGUUUGAUCCUGGCUCAGAGCGAACGCUGGCGGCAGGCUUAACACAUGCAAGUCGAGCGGGCAUAGCAAUAUGUCAGCGGCAGACGGGUGAGUAACGCGUGGGAACGUACCUUUUGGUUCGGAACAACACAGGGAAACUUGUGCUAAUACCGGAUAAGCCCUUACGGGGAAAGAUUUAUCGCCGAAAGAUCGGCCCGCGUCUGAUUAGCUAGUUGGUGAGGUAAUGGCUCACCAAGGCGACGAUCAGUAGCUGGUCUGAGAGGAUGAUCAGCCACAUUGGGACUGAGACACGGCCCAAACUCCUACGGGAGGCAGCAGUGGGGAAUAUUGGACAAUGGGCGCAAGCCUGAUCCAGCCAUGCCGCGUGAGUGAUGAAGGCCCUAGGGUUGUAAAGCUCUUUUGUGCGGGAAGAUAAUGACGGUACCGCAAGAAUAAGCCCCGGCUAACUUCGUGCCAGCAGCCGCGGUAAU